UCCCCUAGUAACUGCGAGUGAAGCGGGAAGAGCUCAAAUUUAAAAUCUGGCGGUCUCUGGCCGUCCGAGUUGUAAUCUGGAGAAGUGUUUUCCGCGUUGGACCGUGCACAAGUCUCCUGGAACGGAGCGUCAUAGAGGGUGAGAAUCCCGUCCAUGGCACGGACCACCAAUGCUUUUGUGAUACGCUCUCAAAGAGUCGAGUUGUUUGGGAAUGCAGCUCAAAACGGGUGGUAAAUUCCAUCUAAAGCUAAAUAUUGGCGAGAGACCGAUAGCGAACAAGUACCGUGAGGGAAAGAUGAAAAGCACUUUGAAAAGAGAGUUAAACAGUACGUGAAAUUGUUGAAAGGGAAACGCUUGAAGUCAGUCGCGUCCGGCAGAACUCAGCCCUGGCCCUUUUGGGCCUUGGUGUACUUUCUGUCGGACGGGUCAACAUCAGUUUUGACCGGUGGAGAAAGGCAGGGGGAAUGUAGCGCCGUUUCGGCAGCGUGUUAUAGCCUCUUGUCAUAUGCACCGGUUGGGACUGAGGACCGCAGCAUGCCCUUUGUUGGGCCGGGGGUUCGCCCUACGUUAUCGUGCUUAGGAUGUUGGCAUAAUGGCUUUAAGCGACCCGUCUUGAAACACGGACCAAGGAGUCUAACACGCUUGCGAGUGUUCGGGUGUGGAAAACCCUUGCGCGUAAUGAAAGUGAAAGUUGGGAACCUCCGCAAGGGGGUGCACCGACGCCCGGCCCUGACGUUUUUCUGACGGUGCUGCGGUAGAGCAAGUAUGCUGGGACCCGAAAGAUGGUGAACUAUGCCUGAAUAGGGCGAAGCCAGAGGAAACUCUGGUGGAGGCUCGUAGCGAUUCUGACGUGCAAAUCGAUCGUCAAAUUUGGGUAUAGGGGCGAAAGA
rnacentral:rRNA from 1 species